rnacentral:rRNA from 1 species
GUCGAGCCUGCCCAGUGACAUUAUGUUUAACGGCCGCAGUAUUUUAACUGUGCUAAGGUAGCGCAAUCACUUGUCCUUUAAAUGAGGACCUGUAUGAAAGGCGUGACGAGGGCUUAACUGUCUCCUUUUCCUAAUCAGUGAAAUUGAUCUCCCCGUGCAGAAGCGGGGAUAAAACUAUAAGACGAGAAGACCCUGUGGAGCUUAAGACAAAAGAGCAGCCUAUGUCACCAAACUUUUCCCCAAAGAGUAUACAACCUAGUAGCCCCUGCCCCAAUGUCUUCGGUUGGGGCGACCAUGGGGAAAACCAAACCCCCAUGUAGACAGGGAGCACUAAUGGAGGACACCCCCACCAAACCCACUACAACACUCCUAAAAACCAGAGCUUUCCGCUCUAGUUAACGAAACAUUCGACUCAGACUGACCCGGAUAAGCCGAUCAACGAACCAAGUUACCCCAGGGAUAACAGCGCUAUCCCCUUUCAGAGCCCAUAUCGCCAAGGGGGCUUACGACCUCGAUGUUGGAUCAGGACAUCCUAAUGGUGCAACCGCUAUUAAGGGUUCGUUUGUUCAACGAUUAAAGUCCUACGUGAUCU